ACUAUAUAGUAGGCGAAAACAGUACGUGAAGGAAGCAGUACGUUCCAAACAUCAGUUUUCAUAAAAAGAGUAGGCGAGAAGUUCCCGGAUGGCUUACUGCUUCCGCCCAGAUUUUUGAGUGCUUUUCCACGGCUACUCAUGAUACUCAUCUAUCCCAGGAGGCCACGCGAGAGGAUACGUCAAUGCACAUAGCUUGCAAACUGCCAAUAAAAAUCACAGAAGAAGAAGAAGAAGAAGAGAUGAUACGUCAAUAUCAACAUCGCGGAGAUAAGCGACGCGGGGGUUUUCAAAUGGACAGGAGAACACGCGUCUGUUUAUCAGGUGGAGAGAGGCUCAUGAUGCUGAAUGCUGUCAUCAAAGAAUAGGAACCGCUGUGUUGAGUCGGCAGUAGGGUUUGGGGUUCAGUGCCUGUAAAUACAUGCUUGUAGUUUGAAUAAAGCUGUUUCAUGUGUUGACUUGUA